rnacentral:lncRNA from 7 species
CAAAAAUCACGCGUUUUCUCAAAUCCCCCAUUUAAGCGAAAAUCACGCGUUUUCUCUUCGAGAAUCCAACAUUUAACCAGAAAAUCAUGCGUUUUCUCAAAUCCCCCAUUUAAGCGAAAAUCACGCGUUUUCUCUUCGCAAAUCCCCCAUUUAACCAGAAAACCAAGCAUUUUCUCUUCGAGAAUCCCCCAUUUAACCCGAAAAUCAUGUGUUUUCUCAAAUCCCCCAUUUAAGCGAAAAUCACGCGAUUUCUCUUCGCAAAUCCCCCAAUUAACCCAAAAAACCACGAGUUUUCUCUUCCGAAAUCCCCCAUUUAAGCGAAAAUCACGCGUUUUUCUCUUCGCAAAUCCCCAUUUAAGCGAAAAUCACGCGUGUUUCUCUUCGAGAAUCCAACAUUUAACGAAAAUCACGCGUUUUUCUCAAAUCCCCCCAUUUAAGCGAAAAUCAACGUGCGUUUUCUCUUCGAGAAUCCAACAUUUAACCAGAAAAUCAUGCGUUUUCUCAAAUCCCCCAUUUAAGCGAAAGUCACGCGUUUUCUCUUCGCAAAUCCCCCAUUUAACCAGAAAACCAAGCAUUUUUUCCUCUUUCAAGGAAUCCCCAUUUAACCCGAAAAUCAUGGUGUUUUCUGUCAAAUCCGCCCAUGUUAAGGCGAAAAUCACGCAUUUUCUCUUCGCAAAUCUCCCAAUUAACACAAAAAAACACGAGUUUUCUCUUCAGAAAUCCCACAUUUAACCAGAAAUCACACGUUUUCCCUUCGCAAAUCCCCCAUUUAAGUGAAAAUCUCGCUUUUUCCCUUUGAGAAUCGUCAAUUUAAGUGAAAAUCAAGCGUUUUCUUCUUUGAGAAUCCCCCACUUAAUGUGAAGAUCACGAAUUUUUCUUUCUCUCUUCAAAUACCCGUUUUUUUUAAUUUAAGCGAAAAUCACGCGUUUUCUCUUCGAAGAAUCCGCACAUUUAAUGCGAAAAUCACGCGUUUUCUCUUCGAGAAUCCGCCCCUAUUUAACAAAAAUCACGCGUUUUUCUGCAAAUCCACAUUUUAAGGCGAAAAUCACGGGCGUUUUCUCUUCGAGAAUCCAACAUUUAACCAGAAAAUCAUGCGUUUUCUCUUUGGAAAUCCCCCAUUUAAGCGAAAAUCACGCGUUUUCUCUUCGCAAAUCCCCCAUUUAACCAGAAAACCAAGCAUUUUCUCUUCGAGAAUCCCCCAUUUAACCCGAAAAUCAUGUGUUUUCUCAAAUCCCCCAUUUAAGCGAAAAUCACGCGAUUUCUCUUCGCAAAUCCCCAAUUAACCAAAAAACCACGAGUUUUCUCUUCGAAAUCCCACAUUUAAGCAAAAAUCACACAUUUUCCCUUCGCAAAACCCCCAUUUAAGUGAAAAUCUCGCGUUUUCUCUUUGAGAAUCAUCAAUUUAAGUGAAAAUCAAGCGUUUUCUCUUUGAGAAUCCCCCAUUUAAGUGAAGAUCACGAAUUUUCUCUUCUCAAAUACCCCAUUUAAGCGAAAAUCACGCGUUUUCUCUUCGCAAAUCCCCCAUUACACCAGAAAAUCAUGCGUUUUCUCUUCCAAAAUCCCCCAUUUAAGUGAAAAUCACGCGUUUUCUCUCCGAGAAUCCAACAUUUAAGCGAAAAUCAUGCGUUUUCUCAAAUCCCCCAUUUAAGCGAAAGUCACGCGUUUUCUCUUCGCAAAUCCCCCAUUUAACCAGAAAACCAAGCAUUUUCUCUUCGAGAAUCCCCCAUUUAACCCGAAAAUCAUGUGUUUUCUCAAAUCCCCCAUUUAAGCAAAAAUCACGCAUUUUCUCUUCGCAAAUCCCCCAAUUAACCCAAAAAACCACGAGUUUUCUCUUCAGAAAUCCCACAUUUAACCAGAAAUCACACGUUUUCCCUUCGCAAAUCCCCCAUUUAAGUGAAAAUCUCGCGUUUUCUCUUUGAGAAUCGUCAAUUUAAGUGAAAAUCAAGCGUUUUCUCUUUGCAAGUCCCCCAUUUAAGUGAAGAUCACGAAUUUUCUCUUCUCAAAUACCCCAUUUAAGCGAAAAUCACGCGUUUUCUCUUCGGAAAUCCCCCAUUUAACUUGAAAAUCACGUGUUU